GUCAGAUAGAAUUUUAGUUCAACUUUAAAUUUACUACAAAAGCAUAUAAUUACACCGUAAAUUUAACUGUUAAUCUAAAGGGGUACAGCCCUUUAGACUAAGGAUACAACCUUAAUUAGAGAGUAAAUAUAUUAAUAACCAUAGUUGGCCUAAAAGCAGCCAUCAAUUAAGAAAGCGUUCAAGCUCAACAAUAAUUAAUUCCUUAAUCCAAUGAUUAUAUAUUAACUCCUAGUUUACUACUGGACUAAUCUAUUAAUCAAUAGAAGAAAUACUGUUAAUAUGAGUAACAAGAUUUAUAUCUCCUAGCACAAGCUUAUGUCAAACCAAAUAAUAACUGAUAGUUAACGGCCAAAUAAAUAUAACUUCACAUAAACUAUUUAUUAACCCACUGUUAAUCCAACACAGGUGUGCAUAAAGGAAAGAUUAAAAGAAAUAAAAGGAACUCGGCAAACACAAACCCCGCCUGUUUACCAAAAACAUCACCUCUAGCAUUACUAGUAUUAGAGGCACUGCCUGCCCAGUGACAACUGUUUAACGGCCGCGGUAUCCUGACCGUGCAAAGGUAGCAUAAUCAUUUGUUCUUUAAAUAAGGACUUGUAUGAAUGGCCACACGAGGGUUUAACUGUCUCUUAUUUCUAAUCAGUGAAAUUGACCUUUCCGUGAAGAGGCGGAAAUAAUCUAAUAAGACGAGAAGACCCUAUGGAGCUUUAAUUGACCUAGUCCAACAGAAUAGUACUUAACUCCACCAAGGACUAACAAACAUUCUAACUGGGCUAUAAAUUUCGGUUGGGGUGACCUCGGAGCACAAAAUAACCUCCGAGAGCUAUCUACUAAGACUGACAAGUCAAAGUAAAUCUUUACAAAUUGAUCCAGUCCCACUGAUCAACGGAACAAGUUACCCUAGGGAUAACAGCGCAAUCCUAUUCUAGAGUCCCUAUCGACAAUAGGGUUUACGACCUCGAUGUUGGAUCAGGACAUCCCAAUGGUGCAGCAGCUAUUAAUGGUUCGUUUGUUCAACGAUUAAAGUCCUACGUGAUCUGAGU
rnacentral:rRNA from 1 species